rnacentral:lncRNA from 1 species
GGAAGACUUAAGAUGGCGGCGUUUGCACGGAGUGCAAUCACUGCGUCCUUACGGGGGUUGCAAGGCGUCCGAAGUAUGAGUCCACUAACAAAAGUCCAGAAACUCGCCAGUUAAUAGUAUUGUGUCUCUUCAAAAUAUCGGAGAAUAAUUUCUUUCUCGCUGAUCGCCUAACUUCUACUGACGAAGCUUGGAAGUUGCAGAAGAUGGAGUUCGCUCUUGUUGCCCAGGCUGGAAUGCAAUGGCAUGACCUUGGCUCACUGCAACCUCUGCCUCCCCAGUUCAAGUGGUUCUCCUGCCUCAGCCUCCCGAGUAGCUGAGAUUACAGUAGAGACGGGGUUUCUCCAUGUUGGCCAAGCUGGUCUCAAACUCCUGACCUCAGGUGACCCACCUGCCUCAGCCUCCCAAAGUGCUGGAAUUAAGAGGUGUGAGCCACCACACCUGGCCUACAGCAGAUUUAUUUCAGUAGCUGAAAUAGUUAAAACAUAAUGAUUCCAAAGGCUGAGAAGCAUGCAGAAAAAAUUGAAUCUUUAUUGCUGAUGGGAAUAUAAAACUGUAUACCACAUUGGAAAAUAAUUUGGCAAUUUCUUUUAAAGCUAAACACACACAUACAGUUAGUUAGGCUUAGCAAUUGCUGUCAUGGCCUAUUUCAUAGAAAUGAAAAUUUAUGUGUAGACCAAACCUGCACUUGACUGUUCACAGAAAUUUUAUUUGUAAUAGUCAGAACCUGGAAACAACUCACAUGUUAUUCACCAGGUAAACAGUUAAAUAAGUCUGUUAUUUCCGUAUUGUGUAAUACAACUCAAAAAUUAAAAGGAAUAAACUACUACUAUACAAAUAAGCCUUAGAUGAUUCUCAAUUCUGAAGGAAAAACCCAUUUCAAGUUGUAACAUAAUGCUUAUUUUUAUGUAUCUUAAUGUGAUGAAGUUAAAUAGUUUAGAGAACAUUGUUCGUAUUCAUCUGUUAGGGAUGGUAGAAGUUAGGGUUGUAUGUGAUUAUAAGACUAGUGGAAGGGAUACGUUUUUAAUGAUGGAUGAGUUCUGCAUUCUGAUUCAUGCAGUGGUUACAAAAAUGUAUACAUGUGAUAAAAUGUCAUGUAAAUGUGCACAUUUCACCAAUGACAAUGUGCUGGUUGUGAUAUUGUACAAUGUUAAUGGAAAAUAUCACCACUGGGGAAAAUUGAGUGGUAUGUGUAAACGGUACUAUAUUUGCAGCAUUUUGUGAGUCUUUAUUUUAACAUAAUAUGUAAAUAUGUAAAGCAACUAGAAGAAUGGUUUUAAUACAGGAGAGUAACAGCUUAUAAGCAAGAGAAAGAAAAAUGAUAAAUAAUGUGAACACUUACCAAAGGAAGGGUGGAACAGAGAAAUAAAGGACAGGGAAAAUUAUCUGGGAUGAUUCCUAAAUUCCAAUAUUUGGAUGGAACUAUACAGAAUUUUAAUAUAUCUGGAAAAUAAACUGAAAAUAUUAACGGA